AGCAGCCGCGGUAAUUCCAGCUCCAAUAGCGUAUAUUAAAGUUGUUGCAGUUAAAAAGCUCGUAGUUGAAUUUCGGGGUCAGUAGGCUGGUCGUGCCUCGGUACGUACUGGCAUCGUUGGUUUCUCCCUUCUGACGAACCAUGAUGUCAUUUAUUUGGUGUUGUGGGGAAUCAGGACUGUUACUUUGAAAAAAUUAGAGUGUUUAAAGCAGGCUAACGCUUGAAUACAUUAGCAUGGAAUAAUGAAAUAGGACGAUCGAUCCUAUUUUGUUGGUUUCUAGGAUUGACGUAAUGAUUAAUAGGGAUAGUUGGGGGCAUUAGUAUUCAAUUGUCAGAGGUGAAAUUCUUGGAUUUAUUGAAGACUAACUACUGCGAAAGCAUUUGCCAAGGAUGGUUUCAUUAAUCAAGAACGAAAGUUAGGGGAUCGAAGACGAUCAGAUACCGUCGUAGUCUUAACCAUAAACUAUGCCGACUAGGGAUCGGAUGAUGUUAAUUUUUUAAUGUACUCAUUCGGCGUCCG
rnacentral:rRNA from 1 species